CUGCCAGCUCCCCCACCCCACCCCCAUUUCGGACCUUUGCUUCUGUGUGUCUUCCGGAGGACACAGAUGGCAGGAGCAGGGAAUCGGAAGCACUUGGCAAUGAAGCAGCAAUUCAUUGCAAUCCCUUCGGUAUUCAUCGCAACAAUGCCUGCUCUGAUGGGCUCCGCGUCCUGAAUGCAGCUUUCAAUGUGCAAUCCGGCAGGAAUUACGGCUCUGUGUCGUCCUCAUCACGUCCACUUACUGUCAAGUGUUGCUGAGAAUUCUCCCACUCGGAGUGAGGGAACCACUUGUUUUCGCCACUGAUUUCCGAAACCUCCUCUGGGUUGGGGUGUCUGCGAAGCUCCUGAGUCUGGCUGGUGCCCUUGUCAAAGACAGCUUGGACAAGCAGAUCUUCCUCCAUGGCCCAUCGAAGGAAUGGAUAAAGGACAACAAGGCACAAGGGAUUUUUAAAAUUUCUUCAGAUUAUGGUACCCCUUACACAGAGUUUUGCGGUGAUUUUAGAAAGUUAAAAGUCUCCCC
rnacentral:lncRNA from 1 species